UCUGGUGUCAGCCGCCGCGGUAAUACCAGCUCUCCGAGUGGUGGGGAUGUUUAUUGGGCUUAAAGCGUCCGUAGCUGGCCUUUCAAGUCUCUCGUUAAAUCCAGCGAUUCAAUCGUUGGACUGCGGGAGAUACUGUUAGGCUAGGGGGCGGGAGAAGCCGACGGUAUUUUCGGGGUAGGGGUAAAAUCCUAUAAUCCCGGGAAGACCACCAGUGGCGAAGGCGGUCGGCUAGCACGCGCUCGACGGUGAGGGACGAAAGCUGGGGGAGCGAACCGGAUUAGAUACCCGGGUAGUCCCAGCUGUAAACGAUGCGGGCUAGGUGUUGGAGCGGCUACGAGCCGCUUCAGUGCCGCAGGGAAGCCAUUAA
rnacentral:rRNA from 1 species